UUGUGAUCAUCGGUGCUCUGAUUGCUUCAUGCAUAGGAAUCCAUUUUUAUCUUUCAACCUGUCCUCUGAUCCCCAUUUAACAGAUGAAGAAAUGGAGCCAAUGACGGCUCGUUAGGGAAGUUCAGGCACCUAAAGCUCAGAAUUUUUCACUCCAGCCACAAGACAUUGACAACCUGAUCUCCUAAAGAUGGAAAUGGCUCCACAAAUGCUGUUACAUGGUGAGAACAUCUGCUAUGUGAGGACGGACCCUCCUCCAGUUUACUUUCCUGUCACAAACCAGUAGAAAAAUGAGGAACAAGAACGCUGCCCUAGGAAUGCAGUGAACUUUCCGGCUUAAUAUUUGACAAUGUAGAAGGACAUGAUUUCCAGGGACAGUUGCAGCAUAGAGGAAAGUAAUGCAGCCCUUGCUGGACUGUGAAAUGGAGGAGGCAACAUAGGUUUGGAGCAAGAUGGUAAAUUGCCCAAGAUCACCCAGCCAGUGAACUUGCAAAUACUCUGAAAAGCUUAUCUACUUCUUUCUAAGGUCCAGAAUCUUAACCACAUUCCACGGCCAUCUGGUGCCACUGAGAAACAGAAGCAUCUUGCAAACUCAAAAUGCAAGCAUUUCCUAAAUGCCAGAGCAAGCCCUAAUGCAUCAUGACUAAUGGGCCAGUUACCUCCUCCUUCCCCCACAGAAACCUACUGUGAGUGGAAAACAGCAUUUCCAGUAUUUUGCUCAGUGGAGAAGCACCCUUCUGUCACCAACAGGCAACAUGUGAGCAGAGAGGCUGAGAAAAACCUAAUUACCACAUGACUUAGGAGAUCUUGUUUAUAAAAAGGUGAAAGUUAAUAAAUUUAUAAAUUUUAUUUGAGACCUAGACAAUCUCUCCUGGUCUAUGUAAAGAGGACUACAGCAUGCUGGAUCCAGAGAAGUAAAGUGUUGUUUCAUUUCACACAUAUUUAUGGGAAACCUCCUAAGUGCUAUGCACUAAGUUAAGCAGAGAAAACAGAAAAAAUAACCAAGGCACAGUUCCUAGCUUCAGGGAAUUUACCAGCUGAGAUAGAAAUGACGAGUCUUCCAUGGGAGAUAAGCACUUCCCUUUCUAGAAUAAAGAACUGUUGCCAAAAAGGGGCUGUGCAGGCAAAGACUAGUUUUCUCAGCCUCCUUUACAAUCAUGUGAAGAGUCUGAGAGUGGACUCUUGCCCACAGGAUGAACAGAAGGGAAGAACAUCACUUCCAGGGACACCUGGGCCUUCUCCACCAUCCCUGCCCUCAAUUGCUGGAAGCAUAGUCACCUAGAGGGCUUGGGACCAUGAUUACCUGGUCACAAGUGCAAACUGCUAACAAUGACAGCUGCCUCCAACUGCUCACAUGAGCAGAAAGUACACACUCAACUCUAUGAAAAUAUAGCCACGGAAAUGACUAUGUUGUUAAGGCAGUGAGGGCUUCCUUGACAAAUAAAC